rnacentral:rRNA from 1 species
UACAGAGGUCCCGAGCGUUGUUCGGAUUCACUGGGCGUAAAGGGUGCGUAGGUGGUCGGGUAAGUCUGAUGUGAAAUCUCUGGGCUCAACCCAGAAAUGGCAUUGGAUACUAUCCGGCUUGAGGAGUGGAGGGGGGACUGGAAUACUUGGUGUAGCAGUGAAAUGCGUAGAUAUCAAGUGGAACACCAGUGGCGAAGGCGAGUCCCUGGACACUUCCUGACACUGAGGCACGAAAGCUAGGGGAGCAAACAGG